UACGGAGGAUGCGAGCGUUAUCCGGAUUUAUUAGGUUUAAAGGGUGCGUAGGCGGAUAAGUAAGUCAGCGGUGAAAGCUUGUUGCUUAACAACAGAAUUGCCAUUGAUACUGCUAAUCUUGAGUACAGUUGAGGUAGGCGGAAUGUGUAAUGUAGCGGUGAAAUGCUUAGAUAUUACACAGAACACCGAUUGCGAAGGCAGCUUACUAAGCUGAAACUGACGCUGAGGCACGAAAGCGUGGGGAGCAAACAGG
rnacentral:rRNA from 1 species